rnacentral:rRNA from 1 species
CAUGAAGCCGGAAUCGCUAGUAAUCGCGGAUCAGAAUGCCGCGGUGAAUACGUUCCCGGGUCUUGUACACACCGCCCGUCACACCAUGGGAGUCGAUAACGCCCGAAGUCAGUGACCUAACCGAGAGGGAGGAGCUGCCGAAGGCGGGGCCGGUAACUGGGGUGAAGUCGUAACAAGGUACC